GGCGAGUUUCUUCGGGGCGGAGCUCGACCGCCAACACAAGAAGUAGUCGCGUUCAUCGACGCGAACCGCGACGAGCUCGGUGUCGAGCCCAUCUGCAGCGUGCUGCAGGUGGCGCCG
rfam:Cellulomonas bogoriensis 69B4 = DSM 16987 strain 69B4 contig24, whole genome shotgun sequence.